UAAAAUUUAAAUUAUUUUGGAGUAGUACAAGUUAAGAUCUUUAAACUUAAAAGAUUUGGCGGUAUUUUAUCUUAUUAGAGGAACUUGUUUUUUAAUUGAUAUUCCACAACUACUAUUUACUUUAAUUGAUAAUAUUUGUAUACCGCCGUCAUGAAUGUAUUUAAAAAUUAAUUUUCUAUUUAUUAUUAUUUAAUUUAUGUUAGGUCAAGGUGCAGUUUUUUAAAGAAUUAAUGAGUUACUUUAUAUAAAAUGAAUGGAAAGAUUAAGAUUUGUCUUAAAAAGAAAUAGGAUUUAAAAGUAAACAUAUUUAUAAAAAUAAUAUGAAUUAAGAUUCUAAAAUAUGU
rnacentral:rRNA from 1 species